rnacentral:rRNA from 1 species
CAGUAGCCACGGGAAUACGUAGGUGGCGAGCGUUGUCCGGAAUCACUGGGCGUAAAGGGUGCGUAGGCGGGUCUUUAAGUCAGGGGUGAAAUCCUGGAGCUCAACCCCAGAACUGCCUUUGAUACUGAAGAUCUUGAGUAUGGAAGAGGUGAGUGGAAUUCCGAGUGUAGAGGUGAAAUUCGUAGAUAUUCGGAGGAACACCAGUGGCGAGGGCGGCUCACUGGUCCAUUACUGACGCUGAGGUGCGAAAGCGUGGGGAGCAAACAGGAUUAGAUACCCCUGUAGUCCCUGUCUCUUAUAC